UGAGGGUCUCUAGGUUGUAAGUGUAUUAGUGUACUGAGGGUCUCUAGGUUGUAGGUGUAGUAGUGUACUGAGGGUCUCUAGGUUGUAGGUGUAGUAGUGUACUGAGGGUCUCUAGGUUGUAAGUGUAUUAGUGUACUGAGGGUCUCUAGGUUGUAGGUGUAGUAGUGUACUGAGGGUCUCUAGGUUGUAGGUGUAGUAGUGUACUGAGGGUCUCUAGGUUGU